GCCAACCCGCCGUUUUACACUGUGUGCUGCUAAGUUCUAGACUUGUGGAAUCCUACGGGGCUUUCCUUCAGGCGCCGGUCCCCGUCUGUGGUUAUCUUCUCUGCAUGUUUUCCUACACAGCAGUGAAGUACGCUGAUUUCAGGGGGCCGUUACGCUGUUUUUUCAAUGUGGUGCCGUGCCGAGAAAUAGAAACUCAACAGCAGAGGGAACGGACUAAAAGUAGCAGUUCUCAGGAGAAAUGCCAAGGACAACCACUGCAUCUGGUAAAUAAAGAACCCAACAACAGUAACACCACAAGUAUGCCUAAUGAUGGAUUUCAUCAGGGUUUUGAGUCUGCCGGAGGCCAGGAUUGGAGAGGUGGUUGAGUGGUUGGGGGGGGGUGCAUAUUAAAGAGU
rnacentral:lncRNA from 1 species